rnacentral:sRNA from 1 species
CCGUAUUACUAUGUAGCGCAAAAAUGCCUGCAAUUCGCGGAAAGAUAACAAUGUUUCGCGAGUAUACUAUUUGGGCGAGACUCUUUAUAUCCCAAAAUCACGAGUCUGAAUAUCCAAGCCCGAUAUCAAGCCUUCUUUACAGGAAAUAUAGCUUGUACGUUCCAAACAGGAUCACCUAGACCAUCAUUGUCUAUUCCACCAAAACCCUCACGUUCCUAUUUAUCUUCUUCUGCUCGCUUUCCGACUCCGGCUUCUGCUAUUUUCCUCCUCAUCCCUCCUCCGCCUCGUCCGACCUAUCCUCUCGCCCUCUUUCUCCCCAACCUUAUCUACAUCCCUGUCACCCUCACUCUUCCCCCACUUCCUAAACCCUCUCCUUUUACAUAUCCCAAAGAAUGGGAUACAGGUACAGCUUCCCCAUCCUGUAUCUACCCUCUUACGAAGGUUUCCCCGCGAUACCUCAAAGAAUGAACAGACAAAGAGGAGGAUCCAUGAGGCGUGCAAUACUGGUCUUUCGUUAAGCAAAACAGCACAAGAAAAAAAAAACUCGGUACUACUUACAAAGCACACCUGUCCCAACACUGCCUCCGUCCGAACUAGCCACCUUGACCUGCCAACUUGCCGCACACGCUACCCCGAACACGAUCCACCCCAACAUGAAAACGUAUAUCCUACUCACCCUGAACGCAAACCUUUUUAGGCUUCUUUUCAUCCAUCUCCAUCUCGUCAGUCUCCUUCCUUUCUCAUCCGUAUCCUCGUCCUCUUGUUCCCCAUCUCCACCACCAUCCCUGCCUCUGGCCCCGUUCGACGGAAUGGAAGAACAGAAACGGUAAAAGGUAAAGAGGAACGUAUACGUCAUAAGCCAGAAGGAGCAAAGGGCCGCUAGCCCGGUGGUUAGGAAGAAGUUUGCCAAGUCAAUGGUGGAGGUGAGGUCUCUCUUCGAGUUGAACGAUCGUCUGGAGUUGGUGUCGGAGCUUAUAUCGGAGGCGGAGGAUUGCAUCCAACCAUCACAAUUGGUCGUUGUGCAGCUUCCUACACAAGGCAAGGCAUCGUCAACACGGGUCAAACCGCUUUUUUUUCUCCAAUGUCCAUCCACCACCCAGCCGCAUCUCUCACCCACCAAAAACAGACAAACAAAUAAUAAUCACACCAAACCAAAAGAAAAUAGAAAAAGUUAAACUCACUCAAGACCCCAACGUAUUCAUCAUCACUCUUUACAACUGCAGCCAAACCCCCCUUCGGACUUAGAAAACAAACAAAGAACAAGAAAAGCCAUACGGUGAAUUCGAGGAGGAGAAUGAAGAAGGGAGGGUGGUAGUUGAAGUAAUCCGAUUUCCUUCCUGGAGCUCUUGAAGAGGAGGAGGUGGUGGGGGAGCCUCUUUCGGCGUCGGAGGGAUUUUGAGCCCGGUGUCUGGAAGAUGGCAUUGGUUUUCUUGGACGAUCGGGAUCGGAAACAGGAUGGUGAAGGGGAAUCAAAAUCAGAUCUAUAUAUACCUACCGGUCCCCCUUUAUACUCCUAGAUGUCAUGCAAGACCUACCCACGAGUAACUUGCGUGUACAAUUCCAAGCAAGGUAAGUUUUGGCCGGAGAGGCUGCUUGAUCACAGUUUUCAACCGUUAUUGAGAGGUAUGUCCUUCUUUGUGAGGAGAAGUCUGUUACAACAGUCUAGACGAUUUGCAGGUAGGUCUUUCACGCAUUGAGUGCAGUUUGGGCCUUAUAGGUUAUUAUAUUGAGAGACAGUGGGAAACGUCCUCUUUCCGUUAUUCCGCAAACUCAAGCCAAUCUUGUCGUAUGAAUGUGUAUGUCGUGCAAGGUGUGUAAACGAAAAAGAAUAAAGAGUGGCAAGAUGUUUGCACGUUCCCGG